GUAAAUAACUGGUUUAAAAUCCCCUCUUGCAGCAGCUGACCCUACAGAUGUUUAUCCAAGUGGCUGGAGCUGUGCCAGUCUCUCUGGAAGGAGCACUGGCAACAUGAGACCCUGGGGACACUGACAGGCCCACCUGCUGACAGACUGGCCCUGCCCUGCCCCAGAAAACACCGCUUCCAAGCUAAUUAUUACUGCCCUUAUCAGUGGCACUGUCAGGGCUCCUGAUGCACUGCUGGGCUGGGCAAGAGGCUCAGCAGCUUCCAGCAGCCACAGUCUGCAUGAAGGUGCUCAUGGAGAAGAGGAAGAGGCAUGGAGUUACCUGGUCAUGCUCCCAAAAUCUGCUCGUGGAAGUGCUCCAGCCAGGCUCUUGGCUGAGGAAGCUGCAGGCUCACCUUCACUCCAAGCUGCUGGCAGUGCAAAGGGGCUCACACACACACUGCAGCUUUUCCUGGCUGAAACUCGGGUAAAACACUAACUUGGGUCAUUUAUACUCCCAAAGUCGAUUGUUUUUUUGAACAGAAAUGGUUAUGGACAGUGCUGUGUAUUUGUGCAGUUUCAUAGCCACCCCCCUCCAUGUCAUUUUCCUGGGUGCAGGCUGCAGGACAGAAGGGAACUCUUGGGAGUCUCCUUGCAGGAUGCUGCAUCCCUUCCAGGAGAGCCUCUCAUGCUUCCAUGAGCACCCUGUGUUAGGCAGUGACCCUCACAGCUGCCCCAGCUGCAGCACAGCAGCUGCUCCUCAUCAGGCAGGGUGUGUACAAAGCAUCACAAACAGCCAUUUUUGCCGGCCAUGUUUUUAUUUGUUUUUAGUUUUAAACAGGGGAGCCAAUGAUACAUCCAGUAUUUCAAAAAAUCAGAAGGUAAAACAAAUUUUAAAAAGACCGAGAUGCUACAUGCUAUAUUUAACCUAAUUUUAUUCAUGCUUGCUUUGGAGGGGGGCUGGGAGUGGGACAGGAAUCAUUCAUAAAAACAUACAGUAAAAACAAAAUGUCUCACCAUAUAGAACUUUAACCUACAGUAAUGUUGUACCUUAAUUAUUUCCAUGCACACAACUAACAUUACAAAAUUUUUAAAAAAUGAACACAAUUAAGACUUCU